rnacentral:piRNA from 1 species
UCAAACUACAGAACAAUGUGCUAAGCAGU